CGUUCUUCCUUUUUGUCGGCCGGCUGGGGCGCGUGUGUCCCGAGGAACCGGCGAGCCCUUCAAAUGCCCCCGACGGGCAGCAGGCCGGGCGCGGCAGGCCUGGGCGGGGAGCAGCGCUGGCGAUCUGCGCUCAGGCCUUCGGACGCCUGUGGGUGAGGGGCACCGAGCUGAGCGCUCCUCCUGCAGCCUGCGGCUGAGGCCUCACAUAGCAACCUCAUGCUUGAAAUGUUUUAGACAUGGGUAGUCACACCUAAAUGUGAAGCAGUUCUCAGGACUUCUUAGGAAUUAAUAAUGCCUUCUACUGGAAGGGAUGAGACAACGUGUGCCAGGAACUGACAUUAAACAUCGGUUUAAUUUCCUGGGUGGAUGAUUUGUCACCUCUUGAGUAUUGUCUUGGAAGUAGAAUUGAGACAAGCAAUGGCUUAAAUGAUAGAUUUUCAAUGAUUAUGUUGAAACAGACAUCUCACCAUUUGUUAAAACAGGUUUCCUAACAAAAACUGCUGUAAUUUGACUGUGGAUUAAUUGAAAUAAAUUAUGAGUAUGCUACCAAAA